CAAGUACAAGGUAGUAUGACAGCCCAAAAAGCCGCAAAUAGCGUAGCUGAGGGAAUAGUUGGGAAAUCUUUCCAGAAGUAAAAUCUAAGCUCAUCUUUGAAACUUGGACAAGAAUUAACCAAAUAAGAAGGAUACUACAGAUAGUGCUACAGGACUGUUGAAAGGCCUCACAUGAAAGAACAGAAAUGAAAUAGGCUUGAAAAAUAGAAAACAAUGUACAAUGAAAAGAGUUGUUUUGGUUAUGUUUGUUUAGCGCACAUUUUCUAAGGAAGAAUGGCAAGAAAAGCUAACCAUAAAUUGAUUAUGCAUCUUUUCCAUUUUUCUGGACCAAACUUUACCUGAGGGGCAAGAAUGUCGUUUGAAUAUAAGAACUUUUUACUCAUAUAAAGACAUGUUCAACUUCUUUUUCAAUGCAUACUUCAUCAUCCAAGAGUAGUUUCUAAUGGAGUUUAAUGAAGACACUGGAGAAAGAAUGAAAAUACUUAUUUCUGUUUUUGUUUCACAUUGGAGUGGAAGCUAAUGAGUAUCGUCUCAAGUCCUUUGGGGAAAAAACAUCCAAGGAAACAUCACUGACAGAAGCAGCCUCAAUUCUCUACUCAGCAUGACGUUAUCUGCAUAAAAGUGACCAGUUAAUUUUUAACAAAAAAUCUUUUAUUUGUUUUCUGCAGCUGUAGAUUACAGGAAUAUCAACUAGAAUAGGUUCUAAGCCAAGGCAAGUGUUAUAACCUUUCUUUUUGCUAUUUGUGUGUUGCCGCGGUAGCUAAUUUCAGAAGAGGAGUUUGCAGUUAAAUUUGAUGGAGCACACCACAUCUGCUCAAUUCCAGUCAGAUUCUAAUGGUGCUGCCAAAAGGCUGUGUUAGAAUUAUAAGAGAAUCUUCUCCAAACUCAAAUAGAUGGAGGAUAGGCAUCGUAAUAGACUCUUGGGUCACCGAAUCUGGCAAGAACGUACCCUAAAGGUUGGAUCACAGAAAAAUAGUUGGACUUGGUACAAAUAUAAAAAAAAUCCCUUUAGAGUUUUUUAUAGGAAAUAAUUUAAUCUUGAGUUCUUCUGAAGAAAAAAUUUCUGAUAAUACUAGGAUGUUAAUUUCCUUCCUCUCUGAAGCAAGCUAAAAUUCUUGAAG
rnacentral:lncRNA from 1 species